AAUUUAUAAAACAAUAUUGAAAACUUAUCAGUUAUUAAUCUGUAAGAGAAUUAAAAAGUACAUCUUUUGUCUGCUAAAUUUGUCUGAAAAAAUGCGCUCCAAGGACAGAAUUUCCUAUUUCUAUGAUGGUGAUGUGGGCAGUGUUUAUUUUGGACCAAGCCAUCCAAUGAAACCACACAGGCUUUGAAUGACACACCAUCUUGUUCUCUCUUACGAGCUUCACAAGAAGAUGGAAGUUUUUAGACCCCACAAGGCAUAUCCGGUUGAGCUUGCUCAGUUUCAUUCAGAGGAUUAUGUUGAAUUUUUGCAUCGGAUUACGCCAGAUACUCAGCACUUGUUUGCGGGGGAAAUGGCUAGAUGUGUGGAUUUUUCGUUGUGAAAUUUAGUUAAGUUUUUUUCCCUAUUUGUGUUGUUAAGUAUCUGUUGUUUUUGUUUGGCGUGGAAUGAGCUGGGGUUCAUGGAUGAUUAGCUAUGAAAGUGAAUUUAGUUUAGGCGAAGAGUGGGGUGUGAUCUUCUUCUUCUUCUUCUUCUUUUUUGUUGUUGAGAGAAUUGACUUAAUGUGCUUGACCUUGUGAAGUCUGGGGCAUGACUCGACAUGAAUGAAGCAUUAGUGACUUG